UGGUCAUUUCUUUGUUCCAAAUCCAUCUCUGUUUCUUCUCCUUUACUCUCUACUGACCCUAGAAUUUGGACCUUGAGCUAUGUUUCUACUUUUAUUUCUAGAUUCAUCUUUCAAGAGGUGAAUCUGACCUUACAUUUGUAGAAAACCCAGUGCCUAACAGUUUUAAGGAGGGCGGAGACGAAGAAAUCAAGAAAAGGAUACUUCACGCGAUGUUGAUACUCCAAUGUUUAAUCUGUGUCUACUACUUCAAAAUGAAAUUGGUAUUUUCUCUCAAAACUAUAAAUAUUUUGUACUGAUAAAUUUUACCUCUAUGUCCGUGAGAGGAUGUGUAAAAACUUGGAAGUAGAAGAUUUUGUAUCUGGAGGAGCUCUAUAUGGUUGGUAAAGAUAGCCCUGAGAUUGCGAUUUAAUGGAAAGUCGAACUACCCAACCACUUGAACCUUCAUUGCUCUACUAAUCGUUGUAAGGUGAAAUCUCAUGACCGUGAAUGUAGACUGGAUACAUUCUGAUCAGAGAUUGGAUGCGAAUAGGCUGCGAUAUUGUACUGAUGGUGUUUGAGUUUGAAACAACUACAUCUGCGAUAUUGUACUGAUGGUGUUAGAGUUUGAAACAACUACAUUAUACAUGUAUUUAUAUUACAGCAAACAUCUUUUAUCCAAACGUUUGUGUCGAUUCGACGAAGUAUAUUUAAGGAAUAUGACCGCUAUUAAUUCGUGAUUAA